rnacentral:rRNA from 1 species
UAUAAGUGUUAAUUUUUAUAUCAAAGAAGUAUUAGUUAAGUUCUUUAAAUUUAAAAAUUUUGGCGGUAUUUUAGUCUAUUCAGAGGAACCUGUCCUAUAAUUGAUAAUCCACGAUAAAUUGUACUUAAAUUAUAAAUUUGUAUAUCGUCGUUUUUAAUUAUUUUAUUAGAAUUUAAAUGAUUAAGAUUUAAAAUUAUAAAAUAAAUCAGAUCAAGGUGCAGUUUAUAUUUAUGAAGAGAUGGGUUACAAUAAAUUUAUUUAUUAAUGAAUAUAUUUAUGAAAAUUGGUAUUGAAGGUGGAUUUGAGGGUAAUAAAGUUUAAAUAAAUUUUAUGAUUUAAGCUCUAAAAUGUGU